GAUACAAUUCUAAAAGUGAUAUAGAUUUUAGAUGAUGGCAGUGAGAUGUUGCUAAACUGAGUGUAGUAGAACGAUGAUUUCAAGCCGGUGAUACGAGCAAAAGUGGUCGCGCCACCGUUAAAAGAUAAGUCGCAGUGCUGUUGCAUUUCUAUUCAAUCGUUAUUUAUGGUGAUAUCACCUUAUUUGUUGAAUUUAAUCACUUUAUAAAUAUCUUUGAUUUAUUUCUCUAGCUGGAGUCAGGAAGGGCAAGGCCGAAAAUGACAGAGCAAGUCAUAUUUAGCCGAUAACGUGGGGCUUUCUAUACAGAACACUUCCAGCUACUGACAGAAGCAAAGUCAAAAUCACUUAUGGCGAUAUAAAGCUAACAUCUAUGUUGCUAGGCAUUCUCUGGAAGCAGUUAAUUGAUAAAGAUCACAUAUACAUCGUUGGUGCGACUACUGACAUCAAGCCAAACCGAGGUCAUUGGAACGACAGGUUGUAAUGGUUAGCGGGAUAUAUGUCGAUUACAGAUCGUGAUCAUAGUAAUGUUGACCACUUCCGUUUCAGUGAAAGAUAAGUAACUCAUUCAUAAUGCUUAUGAUUUAACAUAAAUUCUCUUAUUGUGCACUGUGAUAACACAUCACAUAAUUCUGUAUAAAGUUCUCCUAUCAAAAUGGGAAUUAUUGAUUGAAAUGCUGGUAUGCAUGUUGUGUUGGUGGCAUCAUGUGCUUUUAUACAAUGAUAACAAUAAUGUAUACAAAAAUCUUGAUGAAACACUACCCAUAUGCAUCAUGUACACCUAGACUACAAUAACAUAUCACCUUCAUUCAUAAUACACAGACGCACGGAUUUUCAUAGUACAUUCGCGAUACGUAGAGGAAAUUACGUGAAUGCGCAUCACACACCAUUGGAAAUUCAAUAUAAUGUAAAUUUAUGAGGAUUAAGUGUGGUAUUAAAGCACCUGUGUCGGUUUCUUUCUAAUAUAAAGAAAUUGAAUGCAACAACAUUGUUGUUCGAGGCAUCACGAUUCUUGCUCCUGUGAAUUCACCAAAUACCGAUGGGAUCAACCCUACUCCUGCACGAAUACACAGAUUUAGGACUGUUAUAUAGUGUCCGGGGAUGACUAUGUGGUUGUGAAGAGCGGGUGGGACGAGUACGUUAUUGCUUAUGGAAUGCCGACUAAGUAACCUAGUCGACCAUCAUUUACAGUUUCAAAGUUAUGGUAAGGAAUGUGGGAUGGUAAUCGUGGCAGAGCAAAUGCUUCCGAUUUGAAGUAUGUUGGAUGUGGUGGUCCAAUCCUUUCAUAUUGGUGUGCAGGUUCAGAGGUGAGUGCAGUAGAAUUGUUUUUAAGUGUUUGCGCAGGUUUGAGUGUUGAUGCAGACUGUAUGGUCUUUGGUAUCAAGGAAAAAGUGGAGAGUAUUGCUUAGUCACAGAUAGAGAAAGAUUGACGAUUGGGAUCUUGAUCAUGAAGAUACAAGUUAGGCGUAGCUUUUCAUAUGAUUUUCUAUGUAAUCUUGAGAUAAUAUUGACAAUAUAAGGACAAAUUCCAAGUAAUCAAAAUAACUUUCUUUUUUUAAAAUGAA